rnacentral:misc_RNA from 1 species
UCAAACUUGGUCAUUUAGAGGAAGUAAAAGUCGUAACAAGGUAACCGUAGGUGAACCUGCGGUUGGAUCAUUACUGAUUUCUAUUGCCCUCGAGUUGAUUCGCAAGAGUCCUUGGGGGUGAUAACUUACCACUGUGCACUUUAUUGUUUUUUGGGUCAGGACUUUGGACUGGCCCAACCAAUUGAAGAAACCAUUAGAAUUCGUCUUAAAUGUUUUUAUUUAAUAAUAAACAACUUUUGACAACGGAUCUCUUGGCUCUCGCAUCGAUGAAAACGCAGC